CGUCUCCUGUUAGGGUCUCCCAUGCUGGACAGGUCGAAGGGUAGAGGUGAGACGAAGAGCGAUCCACUGGUCCUCCAGGUUGGAGUUUGAGCACAGGCCUAACAACCCUGCCUCGUAAAACACAUAUGUUAUGGAAACAGCAACUGAAGGAAUCAACACUACUGGGUGGAGGACCUUCGUUGCUGCCCUACAUGCCAGGAGGCAUCAUAGGCAGUAAGUAAGUAAUGAGAGUUUUAUUUUAG